rnacentral:rRNA from 1 species
CCUACGGGAGACAGCAGUGGGGAAUAUUGCACAAUGGGCGAAAGCCUGAUGCAGCAACGCCGCGUGAAGGAAGAAGGGUUUCUGCUCGUAAACUUCUAUCAACAGGGACGAAAGACAUGACGGUACCUGACUACGAAGCCCCGGCUAACUACGUGCCAGCAGCCGCGGUACUACGUAGGGGGCAAGCGUUAUCCGGAAUUACUGGGUGUAAAGGGUGAGUAGGCGGCAUGGUAAGCCAGAUGUGAAAGCCUUGGGCUUAACCCGAGGAUUGCAUUUGGAACUAUCAAGCUAGAGUACAGGAGAGGAAAGCGGAAUUCCUAGUGUAGCGGUGAAAUGCGUAGAUAUUAGGAAGAACACCAGUGGCGAAGGCGGCUUUCUGGCUGGAAACUGACGCUGAGGUGCGAAAGCGUGGGUAGCAAACAGGAUUAGAUACCCGUGUAGUC